rnacentral:lncRNA from 8 species
AUGUGGAGGCUAUAUACAGGGGGUACCGGUACAGAGUCAAUGUGGAGGCUAUAUACAGGGGGUUCCGGUACAGAGUCAAUGUGGAGGCUAUAUACAGGGGGUACCGGUACAGAGUCAAUGUGGAGGCUAUAUACAGGGGGUACCGGUACCGAGUCAAUGUGGAGGCUAUAUACAGGGGGUACCGGUACAGAGUCAAUGUGGAGGCUAUAUACAGGGUGUUACCGGUACAGAGUCAAUGUGGAGGCUAUAUACAGGGGUUACCGGUACAGAGUCAAUGUGGAGGCUAUAUACAGGGUGUUACCGGUACAGAGUCAAUGUGGAGGCUAUAUACAGGGUAUUACGGUUCAGAGUCAAUGUGGAGGCUAUAUACAGGGGUUACUGGUACAUAGUCAAUGUGGAGGCUAUAUACAGGGGGUACCGGUACAGAGUCAAUGUGGAGGCUAUAUACAGGGGGUUCAGGUACAGAGUCAAUGUGGAGGCUAUAUACAGGGGGUACCGGUACAGAGUCAAUGUGGAGGCUAUAUACAGGGGGUACCGGUACCGAGUCAAUGUGGAGGCUAUAUACAGGGGGUACCGGUACAGAGUCAAUGUGGAGGCUAUAUACAGGGUGUUACCGGUACAGAGUCAAUGUGGAGGCUAUAUACAGGGGUUACCGGUACAGAGUCAAUGUGGAGGCUAUAUACAGGGUGUUACCGGUACAGAGUCAAUGUGGAGGCUAUAUACAGGGUAUUACGGUUCAGAGUCAAUGUGGAGGCUAUAUACAGGGGUUACUGGUACAUAGUCAAUGUGGAGGCUAUAUACAGGGGGUACCGGUACAGAGUCAAUGUGGAGGCUAUAUACAGGGGGUUCAGGUACAGAGUCAAUGUGGAGGCUAUAUACAGAGGGUACCGGUUCAGAGUCAAUGUGGAGGCUAUAUACAGGGGGUACUGGUACAUAGUCAAUGUGGAGGCUAUAUACAGGGGGUACCGGUACAGAGUCAAUGUGGAGGCUAUAUACAGGGGGUACCGGUACAGAGUCAAUGUGGAGACUAUAUACAGGGGUACCGGUACAGAGUCAAUAUGUCAAUGUGCGGGGGCACCGGUUAGUUGA